UGGGGAAUAUUGCACAAUGGGCGCAAGCCUGAUGCAGCAACGCCGCGUGAGGGACGACGGCCUUCGGGUUGUAAACCUCUUUUGGCAGGGAAGAAGCGAAAGUGACGGUACCUGCAGAAAAAGCACCGGCUAACUACGUGCCAGCAGCCGCGGUGAUACGUAGGGUGCAAGCGUUGUCCGGAAUUAUUGGGCGUAAAGAGCUCGUAGGCGGUUUGUCGCGUCUGCUGUGAAAACCCGAGGCUCAACCUCGGGCCUGCAGUGGGUACGGGCAAACUAGAGUGCGGUAGAGGAGAUUGGAAUUCCUGGCGUAGCGGUGGAAUGCGCAGAUAUCAGGAGGAACACCGAUGGCGAAGGCAGAUCUCUGGGCCGUAACUGACGCUGAGGAGCGAAAGCAUGGGGAGCGAACA
rnacentral:rRNA from 1 species